UACGUAGGGUGCAAGCGUUAAUCGGAAUUACUGGGCGUAAAGCGUGCGCAGGCGGUGAUGUAAGACAGAUGUGAAAUCCCCGGGCUCAACCUGGGAACUGCAUUUGUGACUGCAUCGCUGGAGUGCGGCAGAGGGGGAUGGAAUUCCGCGUGUAGCAGUGAAAUGCGUAGAUAUGCGGAGGAACACCGAUGGCGAAGGCAGCUCACUGGGACGGUAUUGACGCUGAGACGCGAAAGCGUGGGGAGCAAACAGG
rnacentral:rRNA from 1 species